CCUACGGGAGGCUGCAGUGGGGAAUAUUGCACAAUGGGGGAAACCCUGAUGCAGCGACGCCGCGUGAGUGAAGAAGUAAUUCGUUAUGUAAAGCUCUAUCAGCAGGGAAGAAAAUGACGGUACCUGAGUAAGAAGCCCCGGCUAACUACGUGCCAGCAGCCGCGGUAAGACGUAGGGGGCAAGCGUUAUCCGGAUUUACUGGGUGUAAAGGGAGCGUAGACGGCAGUGCAAGUCUGGAGGGAAAGGCGGGGGCUCAACCCCCGGCCUGCUCUGGAAACUGUACGGCUGGAGUGCAGGAGAGGUAAGUGGAAUUCCUAGUGUAGCGGUGAAAUGCGUAGAUAUUAGGAGGAACACCAGUGGCGAAGGCGGCUUACUGGACUGUAACUGACGUUGAGGCACGAAAGCGUGGGGAGCAAACAGGAUUAGAUACCCGGGUAGUC
rnacentral:rRNA from 1 species